UUUGUUUUUGUUUGGUAGAGGUAGCACCUCCCAGUGUUGCUCAGGCUGUUCUUGAACUCCUGGCCUCAAGGAAUCCUCCUGCCUUGUCCUCCCAAAGUGCUGGGAUUACAGAUGUGAGCUGCCACACCUGCCUUUCUUCUCAAUUUUUUAAUCAAUAUAAAUUAUAAAAUGUGGUUCACAACUAAGGUUGAAAAAUAUCUAGUCCUUCACCCCUUACCCCUUCUCAUUCCCCAAACCCUGUGAAUCUACUGUAAAAUGAAUUCAUAAACCAAGAGUCAUUGCUUUUUUAUUCUACUGCUUACAUUUUACUUGGCAAACACAGAAAGAAGUUGGGUAGUACCUCAUGGAAGAACAAAAAAGAAGAACCCUGGGGAACAAUUUCUGGGAGUAUAUCAUACCACAUGAAAUCUGGAAAACUCCUUCAUUCUCAUCUGUCUUUUUUCCAUUCUAAAUCAACACACUAAUUGGAUAAAAUUUUGCCCAGUUAACUUAUACUUCCUGCAAAUAUUACUUCAAGGAUCUCACUUAAAAAUGUAAAAUAAUUAAAUCCCCCCACAAAAAGAAAUAAUUUAAAAAUAUACAAAGGUAUUUGAUACAUUUUAUUCUUAUUCUCUCAAAAUUAUUAUAUUUUGAGCAGAAUUAUUAUAUUGAAAUUCUGUAUUUUCCUUACUUAGCAUUGCACUGGGAAUAAGCUGGACACCAUCUGUUUGAUUCAAUUGUUUACCUCAAAGGGGAAGUAAGUUCUAGAAAACAACUCUGAAAAACUGUGUAGAUGAACUUUCUGAUUCUACGACAUAGAAUAAGGAGCUAUAUAGAGAAUUCUUAGAACUAUGUCAUAGAAUCAGAAAAUGUAUAAGGCAGAAUUCUUAGAAUUAUGUUGCAAUCAGAUGAACUGACAUACUCUUUUUUUUUUCCUUUUUGCCUCUUCGCUUUACAAUCAAGUUAAACCAAUUUACCUUGACUGUGUUUGCACUAUUCCUACUUCAUCUUUAUUGAGUAAUUAUGUUCCUUCUCAUGACAACAAAACUACAUUUUGAAACCUUCUCAUUUAAAGCAGGUACACAAGACAAGACAGACACCGAUCUCCAGUGCAGAGGUGCAUUGGACAAUGUGACAAGGGACGCAGUGGUAAUUAUAAAAGAUCUGUUGACAUUAUGUCUUUUCUAAAUCCCAUUAGAAUGAUGCAUUUUAAACUUAUUAUUUGAUCAGGAUGAGGAGAGUAAGAUAAUUAAAAUCUUUACAGUACCUAUAUUUCAUAUACUAAAACACAGUAACAAUAUGUGAGAAUUAUAUUUCAAGCAUUGGGUCAUUUCUGUGUCUUAUAAGUCUCUUUGCUAUUUAAGAACCCAUGGUAUUUUUUUAUUUCUAUUUCUAUUUCAAAUAUUAAAAUGUUUAUACCCAUAUGUCUAUUUCAGAAGAGGUAUUGUAAAAUGAUUUAAAAUUUUGUGGUCCCUUAAUAAAUUCUAUAUAAAAAGCAUAGAUUAAAGUGGUCAGGACUAUUUAAAAACCAGUAUUUGUGUGUAUGUAUAUGUGUGUAUUUUAAGAGAGUGAAUAUCCAUGAAACAUAUCCUCAUAAACUGGCCUAACUGGUCUUCAUAGAAAAGCAUUAUUUUCACGCUAUUUUAUCUAUAGAAUUAAUUGUUUUGCAUAGUCAUAGAAUUUUCUAUAUACAAGAAUCCCCAGUGCCCAUCUUCCUACAAGUUAAAUAAUGCAUAAGUGUAUCCUGAAAAAUGCUAGAAUAUCUCUCUUCAGAGAACCCAUGUAAAUAAAUUAGCUCAUAUUCUUGGAAAACAGCCUUGCUGUGUCUGUGUGUUCUCCUUCACCACACCUGGACAGACCUCAACUCGUAAACAAACAUCCUAAGAUCUUAAGUAUAAUUAGUGCAACCAAAACACUUGAAUAUCAAUAUUAUUCUUUUUAAUUGCAUUAGCUUAAAAUAUUGUAUCUUUUUGUUGUCUAAGAACCAGAGCCCUAUGGUUUUCUCUUAAUGUUAAAUUGUCUAUAAUAAUGAGUCAAAGUCAUAUUAGAAAAUAUUAGUACUCACAUGGCCAUUAUCUAUUAUGCCCCAUUGAUGAACGCUUUGGGAGGGUGAUGUUAAAUCUUCUUCUAUUUUAUUUAGGAAUCUCAUUGGAUAUCAUAGCACAGUCUACACAUUUCAGUGUCUCCUGGGUGGCAGACCUCACAGAAUGAAGCCAGGAGCCUUAUGCUGAGAGAAUAGGAAUGUUCAAUGGGUUCUUCCUUCAUCAAGAAAAAAAGCACCCAGAAAACAAAUAGCUAACAGCCAUCUUGAAGCUAUCUUGUGUGCUUGUCUCAGUAAAAAAACUAAACAGAAGGAGGAAAAAACAAACUUGACAUGGUUAAAAAGCAGAGGCUGCUCAUCUGGAUUUAUCUUGCGUUAUGCUUUUUUAAUCAAAAAUUCUUCAAAGCUUACUGAUUGUUUGGUUCAUGAGGUGAAGGGCCUGUAUCUUCAAAGAAAGAAGAGGCAAGAUCUGCUAAAAGAGAAAGCCUCUCGUGAUGAUGUACUUACUGCCACUCAGACCAGAAAAGAUUCUGGCCCUGAUGCAGUUAAUCACUUGGGCCAUGAGUUGGUCACUGCUGUAUCCUACGGAGAGCCUGAACAAGUAGAACUUUUGUUGAGUCAUUCAACUGUAGAAUUUCUGCUUCAAAGGCAACAAAGUCCUUUCCUCCAAGAUAUUAAAACAUAGACUAACCAGGAAUGAUUUAUGUAUUUUAAGAUACAAAUAAUACGGAUUUUUUUAACACUAUUACUAAAUUAUGUUUAAGGUCUUUGAGUUUAAAACUGUUAGGAGGACUCUCAGGCUAUAUAAAUUACACAGGGCUCUCGGAGAUCACAAACUGUCUAAAGAAAAAGGGUCAUGAGGAAGGCACCAUCUCUCCCCAUGUUUUCAUGACUGAAUUUCCAUAAUUUAUUUAGUUUCUACCAAUGACAGAAGGCGGGUGGAGGAAGGAACAAGAAAGCUAUCUUAAAAGGAGAUACAACAGAGUAAAUAUUUUCCCAGUUAGAAUCUUAGUGACUUUGAGGGGAUUAAAAGAACCUACUGUGAAUAAUUAUACAUCAAUAACUUGGAUAAUCCAGAAAAAGUAUAUAAAUUCCUAGAAACAUACAACCUAUCAACUGAAUCAUGAAUAUAAAAUCUGAACAGUUCAUUAACUAUUAAGGAGAUUAAAUCAGUAAUUAAAAGCCUCCCAAAAAAGAAAAGCCCAGAUGAGAUGGUUGCACUGGAGAAUUACACAAAACAAUAAAAAAAAAUAGUGCUAAUUCUUCUCAGAAUUUUCUAAGAAAUAGAAGAGAAGAGAACAUUUCCAUACUUAUUUUAUGAGGCCAGCAUUGUGGUGAUAGGGAUACCAAAGCUAGACAAGGACUACAAGAAAAGAAAACAACAGGCCAAUAUCCCUAGUGAACACAGAUGCAAAAAUUCACAACAAAAUACUAACAAAGCAAAUUUAACAGCAUAUUAAAAGUAUCAUACAUCAUGACGAAGAGGGAUCUAUUCCUGGGUUGCAGGGAUGGUUCAACAUACCAAAAGCAAAUCAAUGUAAUACACCACAUUAGUAGAAUAAAGAGUGAUCAUCUCAAUAGAUGCAGGGGGUAAAAAAGUAUUUUACUAAAUUCAACCCCUUUUCAUGAUAAAAACACUUAACAAACUAGGAAUAGAAAAAUUACUUCAACAUAAUAAAGGCCAUAUGUGAAAAACCCAGAGCUAACAACAUACUCAAAGGUGAAAAACUAAGAGCUCUUCCUGGAUAAUCAGGAACAAGGUAUUAAUGCUCACUCUUGCCACUUCUAUUCAAGAUAGUAUUGGAAGUCCCAGCUAGAGCAAUGAAGUAAGAAAGAUAAAUAAAAUGCAUCAAAGCCAGCAAAAAGUAAAAAAAAUCUCUGUUUGCAGAUGGCUUGAUUUUAUAUGUAGAAAACCCUAAAGACUCCAUAGCAAAAAAAAAAAAAAAAAAAAGUUGGAACUAAUAAGCAAAAAAGUUGCAGGAUACAAAGUCAACAUACAAAAACAAUUGUUUUUUUUUUUAUUCCUGAAAAAAAGAUAUUAAUAGUUUGAUAAGGAUUGCAUUGAAUCUGCUGAUUGCUUUAGAUAGUUUGGACAUCUUAACAAUAUUAAGCAUUCCAAUUUGGAAACACAGGAUGCCUUUCUAUUUAUCUGUGUCUUAUUUAAUCAGUAUAUAAGUUUUCAGUAUAUAGGUCUUUCAACUCCUUGGGUAAGUUUAUCACUAACUGUUUUAUUAUUUUUGUUGAUAUUAUAAAUAAAAUUGGUUUAAUUUUUUAUUUUUUUAUUGUAUAUAUCCAUAUGCAAAAGAUUGAAACUGGAUCCUUAUCUUACACACAAAAAUCAACUCAUAAUAGAUUAAAGACCUAAACAUAAGACCUGCAACUGUAAAAUGCCUAAAAUAAAACACAGGUGAAAAGCUUUAAAACAUUGCUCUUGGCAAUGAUUUCCUGAAUACGACACCAAAAGUACAGAAAAGAGGAAAAUUGGACAAAUAAGACUACAUUAAACUAAAAAGCAUAUGUGCAGUAAAGGAAAUGAGUGAAAAGGCAAUCUAUGGAAUGAGAGAAAAUAUAUGCAAACCAUAUAUCUUAUAAGAAAUCAAUAACCAAAAUAUAUAAAAAACUCCAUAACUCAAUGGCAGAAACACAACUUGAUUAAAAAGCGGGCAAAGAACUUGUUUAGACAUUUGUUCCAAGAAAUACAAAUGGCCAACAAGUAUAUAAAAAGAUGAUCAAUAUCAGUAAUCAAGCAAGGAAAUGCAAAUCAAAACCACAAGGAGGAGGGAAAGCAAUGCGAUAUCAACCGACACCUGUUACGAUGGCCAUAACCAAAACACAAAAUAACAACUGUCAGCAAGGAUGGGAAGACAUUGGAACCCUUGUGCACUUUUGGAACUGAAAACUAGGACCCUGAAGAGGCAUCUGCACUUCUGUGUUCGUUGCAGCAUUACUCGCAAUAGCCAAAGGGCAGAAACAACCUGUGUCCAUUGACAGAUAAAUGGAAAAAGAAAAUGUGGUGACCCUGGGAUGUAGACAGCAGUACCUAAAGUUUCCCAGACGCUUCUAAAGCAGAACAUUGUUGUUUUCAGUUGUAAACAAG